GACGAACGCUGGCGGCGUGCUUAACACAUGCAAGUCGAACGGAAAGGCCCUGCUUUUGUGGGGUGCUCGAGUGGCGAACGGGUGAGUAACACGUGAGUAACCUGCCCUUGACUUUGGGAUAACUUCAGGAAACUGGGGCUAAUACCGGAUAGGAGCUCCUGCUGCAUGGUGGGGGUUGGAAAGUUUCGGCGGUUGGGGAUGGACUCGCGGCUUAUCAGCUUGUUGGUGGGGUAGUGGCUUACCAAGGCUUUGACGGGUAGCCGGCCUGAGAGGGUGACCGGCCCACAUGGGACUGAGAUACGGCCCCGACUCCUACGGGAGGCAGCAGUGGGGAAUAUUGCACAAUGGGCGGAAGCCUGAUGCAGCAACGCCGCGUGCGGGAUGACGGCCUUCGGGUUGUAAACCGCUUUCGCCUGUGACGAAGCGUGAGUGACGGUAAUGGGUAAAGAAGCACCGGCUAACUACGUG
rnacentral:rRNA from 1 species